UUGUUUUAGAAUUCUGUAGUCACUUCAGCUGGAGUAGCCCUCAGGCCUUACACUGCAAAGCAACCUCUGUAUCUCCUGGAUUAUCUGCUUGUCACUGCCCAAGGCCCGUUGAUUAUCACUUCAUCAAGCAAAAUGAGCACCCAAAUAUGUGAUGAGCUCAUACAGUACAAGUAAGAAGUGAUGGGGAUAGAUGCUCCGUUGGCGUGAAGUGCUGUAGUUCCAUUGACUUCAACUGGGGAUCUGCCCCAUCUUAAUCCUGACGGAGGAUGCUUUACAUUCUAAUUUCAGUCAUGAUGCAACAAAGGGAUGGGGUCGGGUAAGAAAUCAAUAUGAAGGGGUGCGUUGGGGGCAUUGGGAGAGAAAAGCAGCAAUACUUAGCCAAGGCUUGUACAGAAUAUGUGGUGUAGUCAACCCCCACAAACUUUGUAUAAAUAUCUUAGCAUCAAUAUACAUAAGUAUCUUUGACUCAUUUCUUGUGGUAAAGGCCUGGCAGUAGGGUUUGUUAAAAUAAUGUAGUUUUAAUAUAAUUCCUCACUCCAGCAUCUGCUGCUAAGGCUUAGAUGAGGCAUUGAGAGGGACUGCUAUUCUUCUGUGCAAAUUAUAAGUGCCCUGGUUUUACAGUCCUCUCCUGAGCAAGGACUGUAGGAACAGACUCAAGGAGUGAAGUCCUAGCCCCACUGAGUAUGGCUGCAAUAUUAACCCAGUGUUUGAACUCAGGCUCAAGACUAACCCCUCUUCCAUCUACACACAACUAUCACUUACCCAGGGCUUGGACCCAGGGUCCCAGGACCCCAUGCAGGUGGGGAGUGGUCCAGUCUGAAUCAAACCAGGACCUAGACACAGUCCCACUGGACUAGUGCUCUGGGAGUCUGCCAAGAGUAUUCCACAAUAGCAAAGGGUGACUUUCUUUGUCCUCUGGACAGUCAAGUUUGGUGGACAGUCAAGUUUUCCCACGUUGCACCAUGAAGAAAUGGCUAGAGCAGCCACAUUUUGGGAGGGUGCCAGGAAGUCUGGGAUAUGGGUGGUUGGAUUCGGGCCCAGAUAAUGCAGUGUAGGUGUUGGAACUCCAGGUUAUAAUCUGGGGUUACAAAUAAGUGUAGACACUUAAGACUAGAUUAGCAAACACAGGGUCUGCUAACUCGAGGUCAAAUGACCCUCGGCUUACUUUUCACUGUACACAUACCCAUUGAAGUCAAUGGAGCUUUGCUAUUGACUUCAGCAAGGUCAGGAUUUCACCCAGGUAUGCAGGUUAGUGAAGUGUGGAUUAGCAAAACUCUGUUCUGUUUAAGGAAAUCCAGCGCUCAUGUUUCACAGUAUUUUAUUUACCAUGAAUGUUUUAGCGAUUUGGUGAUAUAUUUUUCACAGACUAUUUUUAAGCACUUUCUUUUUUAACCCGUACAAACAAUGUGUAUCUGCAGCUUUUUGCCCUUGUCUUAAAUAAAACUAACAGUAAUAAAGAA